rfam:Triticum aestivum genome assembly, contig: Triticum_aestivum_CS42_TGACv1_scaffold_578399_7BL
AUCCUACUCCCUCCGUUCGGAAUUACUUGUCUGCGAAAUGGACGUAUCUAGAACUAAAAUACAUCUAGAUACAUUCAUUUCGGAGACAAGUAAUUCCGAACGAAGGGAGUAUUAU